rnacentral:rRNA from 1 species
CACGUGGGAACGUGCCUUUAGGUUCGGAAUAACUCAGGGAAACUUGUGCUAAUACCGAAUGUGCCCUUCGGGGGAAAGAUUUAUCGCCUUUAGAGCGGCCCGCGUCUGAUUAGCUAGUUGGUAGUGUAAUGGACUACCAAGGCGACGAUCAGUAGCUGGUCUGAGAGGAUGAUCAGCCACAUUGGGACUGAGACACGGCCCAAACUCCUACGGGAGGCAGCAGUGGGGAAUCUUGCGCAAUGGGCGAAAGCCUGACGCAGCCAUGCCGCGUGAAUGAUGAAGGUCUUAGGAUUGUAAAAUUCUUUCACCGGGGACGAUAAUGACGGUACCCGGAGAAGAAGCCCCGGCUAACUUCGUG